CUGCGCUCAGUCGGAUAAAGUGCCCACUGAUUACACUUUUAUGGGCCUCCCAGCAAUGAAUGAAUGAGGUGAAGUUGAAUUCUUCAUUUAACCCCUUUGUUGCCAUUGUUUGAAAUUUAAAGAUAAAUCUUGAUUCUUUUUGGAGUAACUUAAAAUUGCCUUUUAAUGAAUUAAGGAUUAAUUUUUCUAUGGCCUGAAAUCUCAGUUGAACUGAAUCAGCGUUAUGUUGAUGAGAUGUUUGGCAACAGGAGUGAGAUUGCCAGAACUGGUGGUUGAGCCGAUAUAUUGAAGUAUACGUCGUCUGAAUUGUUGAUAGGUUUUGCCUAUCUAUUGU